rnacentral:misc_RNA from 1 species
AACUUGCGGCAACGUAUCUCUUGGUUCUGGCAUCGAUUAAGAACGCAGCGAAAUGCGAUACGUAAUGUGAAUUGCAGAAUUCAGUGAAUCAUCGAAUCUUUGAACGCACAUUGCGCCCAGCAGCAAUCUGCUGGGCAUGCCUGUCCGAGCGUCAUUUCUGCCCUCGAGCGCGGUUCGCUUGCGAGCCGACGCCCGGUGUUGGGGCUCUGCGGGCUAGCCCCGCAGUCCCCGAAAUGUAGUGGCGGUCCCGCCGCGGCGCCCCCUGCGUAGUACUUUGUCUCGCAUCGGGUCCCGGCGAAGGCCAGCCGUCGAACCUUUCUUUUGAUGGUUUGACCUCGGAUCAGGUAGGGUUACCCGCUGAACUUAAGCAUAUCAAUAAGCGGAGGCU